GUUUUACAGCCGUUAUUUCCUAGUCCACAGAAAAGACGGGAUAUAUGGAUAUAGAAUUUUAGAUCUGUGCCAUCUGAUCCAUAAUCUUUGGACAUACAGGUCCAGGAUGUUGACGCUCAACCUUAUCGUUCCACAGACUCAGUUUGAGGAUUGGUUUGUGAGGAUAGAUCUAAAAAAAGGUGCAUAUUCCAUUGCCCAGUCACAGGAAAUUCCUGAGGUUCUCGUUUGGAGGCAACGCAUAUCAAUAUUGGUUCUUCCAUUCGCUAGCUUUAUCCCCUCGCACCUUCAGGAAAUGUAUGGAUUUCGCGUUGGUUCCUUUGCGACUCCAGAUUAUCCGUGUGCUAAACUACCUGGACGACUGGUUAAUUCUAGUGCGGUCCAAAAAGUUCAACAUCAAGAUGUUGUUCUCAUCCACAUGAAGAGCUUGGGGCUCAGGUUGAACCUCAGGAACAGUUGGUUCUCCAGACAAGAGCUGGGAUUCGAAUACAAUGAGGGCAUGUCUAUCCCCAACACACGCAGGGCAAAUCCUAUCAACAUUGAGCAAGAUAGACUUGGCAUCCCCUCCAGUCUCUACGGAGACUGUUGGAGCUUAUGUCAGCAGCAGCCAAUGUCAUACCAUUGGGCCCAACGCACAUGAAACCGUUCAUUUGUGGCUGAAGGUCGGGGGUUUCAUCAGAGGACGAAACCCCUGGGAGUAAUCAGUGUCAGGCGGCGAUUUUUACAUGUUCUGAGAACUAGGAAGUGUCCCUCAGGUCACACUCUAGCGGCAUCUCUUAUCACAAGACGGUAAUGUCAGACACCUCCCUCAUGGUCUGUGGUGCAGCCCUCAUCUAGUGUGGCAUAUAAAUCGCCUCGAAGUGUGGGCUGUACUCCUAGCACUGAAUUUCUUCUCGUCAGUUGAGAGGUCACCAUGUGUUAGACAACACAGCGGUGGUCUCAUAUAUCAACCACCAGGGAGCAUUACGUUCACGCCCCCUUUUCAGGCAGACUCAACUAAUUCUUCUCUGGUAGAGGGGAAGUUUGGUCAGUGAGUGCAAUGUAUAUUCCGGGCUACUGGAAUGUUGGGGCAGACAUCCUGUUGAUGCAGAGGCUGAGGCCUGGGGACUGGAGGCUCCAUCCACAAGCUCUAGUGAGAGUUCGCCAAGACCGUGCUAUGUCUGCUGCUGAUAGCACUGGAUUGGCUAGCUCAAAUUUGGUUAUUGGAGAUAAUAUCUCUGCUGGACGGCCCUCUCUAGGAGUUUCCAGUUCACCAUGACAGCCAUACCCUCAGUAUGAAAGGGAAUGUCUGGGGUAAAUGUAACCCUGUUCCCUGAGAAGGGAAUAAGCCAUUGCAUAGCUUUUUCAUACUGGGGCAUGCCUGUGAAUCGCGUCUUUGCUUCAGAUAAUAGAGGCUGAUGACGUGGUUCACAGGCACCAUUUUAUAGUUAUGAUUUUACACAGACUUCAGAUACCGGUCAUGCGUGAGGGCACUUCCCACAGCGUGAAGCUCAUGCAAUGUCUCGUUCCCAUCUCAGAGAACAGGGUUGCAUGCGUAACCCAGACGUUUUGCCUCGUAACUCUAGUUUUUGGUUCUUGUUUUCAGUGUUUUUGUUGUUUGUUUGCACCGUUCACUAAUAAAUCUGCACUUGCAUCGACUGCUGCCAACUCCCAGUUCCUGACUGUACUGGACAUGGAGCAAAUAUAUUAAAGAAAUACUGCAGGGUUUUUAAUGAUAAUCUCUACAUAGUAGAUGUGAUAACUAUGCAAAAAUAAUUUUAAGCCAGCUCCCUGUACUGAGAACAGAACUAAGAGGCAUCUGACGUACUUCUCACCGAAAAAAUAAAAUCACAUUUAUACACAUUUGGAGCUGAAUUUAUGAAUAGCUUUGACCGAUGAAUUCAUGAAAGUAUUUCACGUAAAGGGUUAUUCACUACCAGAACAACUGCCCUUAGACUUCCAUUAUAAGUGAGUUUCAGGUAAACAGGUUUUCUUUUCAUUCGUCAGUACAGAGAAAUAUGUUGAAAUUUGUAUUAAUCCAUAUAUUUUGAGUUGAAUACACAUGCAGUGAAUAAAGACAUUUUUUUAGUUACAUUUAUAUAGUGCUUUUCUAGACUCUCAAAGUGCUUUACACAGUAUGGGGGAGGGGUGUCACCUCAACCACCACUAGUGUGUAGCAUCAACCUGGAUGGUGUGACGGCAGCCACACACCAGCUAUUUAAGUUGAAAAUACUGAAGUGUUCCUUUAAGUCCUUAACAGUGUACAAAAGCAGUACAAGAACCUGUUAUUGCACUAUAAAUCUGUAAAUGGCUAGGCACAAGUUCAUGAACAAGAAGAGAGAAACAGAAUACACUCAUACUAACUGAACAAGUGUGAGCCCUGUGUUUUCACCAUGUUCACGUUGUCCUCGCUUCACCCAACCAGCUUUACCUUGAAUGCCACUUUUCCAUCACAGUAAUGAGCUUUUAUGUGGUGAAAAGUGCUUUUGCAGAGGCCAAAUCAAAUUUGCUCUAUUCAGGAGAGGAAGAGAAGGAGCCAUAAUAGAAGCUAGCAGGCGCUGGUGUGUCAUCCUGCAGGAUGGAUGGUCGAGGAACAGCCUUGGCGUAGCUCCUACCUGUCUGAGCCCUGCUGGCACCCCUCCAACUGCUUAACCGUCCAUCAGCCUGUGGUUCCAGUGACUGGCUGGCCUUAGCUGUCGCUCCUGGGGACAUACACACAGACACACAUAUAGAUGAAAAUUAGAAAGAGAAAACACAUGAGCUGAGUAAGUACAGCUACUGAACUCCAAGCGCAUCAAGCGCCACUCUGUCUGGCAAGAGAUGCAAAGCUUGAAGGGCAUGCAAACCACACAUCCACACCAGUAAUUCCAGCCUGAGAGAACACAGCUCAGUAAGCGGGAGCAAAUUAUACUUUUAAGCAACUUUCUUUGUUCCUUGUUUUGUCACAUCCUGGAAGGAACUUGAUUCGUCUCCUCCACAACAUGGCAGGAGAGGUUGCUGUCGCACCUGUUUUCUGGCAGCGAGAAGGCUUGGGCUUAGGGUUAUUUUAUAAUGAGUAGAGGCAACGCUCACAGGGACUGUCAGAUGUACUGCAGCCCACCAGCGAGAUCAGCCGGGAAGAGAUAGAGAGAGAGAGAGAGUGAGAGAGAGGAAAGCAGGUAGGAGAGUGAUAAGAGACAGAGAGGAAGAGAGGAAAGCAGCAGAUGAGGAGAGACAGGAGGGAGGAUGACAGUGCCAGGAGCCAGCUGCUAUAUGAUCUGUACUCUUUUACAGCAUUGCAUGAUGGGAGAUGAGCUGACAUGGGCUAUGAGGUCACUCUGAGAUGGCUGGAUUAGAUUGAUUUAAUAGUAGUGUCUCUCCAAUACCUUCCUGCAUACCAAAAAAGCAGGCAUAACAACCUGAGUGGGUUGUUAUAUAUUUGCACAAUGCUAAAUACAGACGCAUUAAAAAAAAUAAAAUAAAAAUAAACAAAGUAGCACCAUUUGGAUGGUGGGCUGUGCAAUCACCUUGUAAAAUGUAUUUUAUGGCCCAUUGUUUAUGGGCAAUUAUGAAGGCAGGUGUAGGAAUGAGACGCACACACACUCGGUUUGAAGUAUGCGGUGGUUUGGAGUGUUCAGAACAAAGACGCUUAAUAUCCAUCUGCGUGUAUUAAUAAGUGUGUAAAGACAUAGUGUCCCACAUUCUGUAUCCUACGCCCGUGCCUCAUCAUCCUGCAGUCGUCUUCAUCUUCCUCAUGCCUAAUGUACAGGCCCUGAUGCACUCCCGACCAACAUCUGGGUCAUCUCUCAUGUAUUUCACACACAUACACACCUCAUAUAUAUUCUCACCAUAAAUAGCUUCUCAUAUCUUAUAGUAAGAGGUACAGUAGGCUGCAUGCAAGCACUUUUUAUAACCUGAACAUUUUCUUUGCACUUUCCUUUUUUUCCCAAAGUGCCUCUGGGCUCCAUUUGCCCAAGAGGACUUUAAAUGCGAUCAAAGGAGAGAUUAGAAGAGCACCACAGAAGGUAUUUAAAAACAAAGGCCGUUAUUGUUGCGCCGUGGUGUCCUAGCAUGAGAGUCCGUGCUGUUAGAGUGCUCGAAUUCAGCUCAGACCUUAAACACACUCAGAGACUUACCAGGGCACGGGGGAAAUGAUUAAAAACCUUCAGCAUUUUCAGCCGCUUCCAAAAAUAAGUUAGCUUUGAUGUGUGUUUGUGUUGAAGGCAAGACCAGUGUUGUUGUAUUUUUUUCCUGCCCCAAGUGGUACAAGAGAACACAGGUAAAUGACACAGUUGUCCUAUGCUCUUUUGCCCAGGGCCUUGUAUAUUCUUUCUUUUUUCUGGAAAAAAAUGACCCUUUACAAAGGAAGAAAUACAGAAAGAGAGGAAGAAUGAGAGAGAGAAAGUGAGUAGGAGACUAAAGCAGGGAAGGAGAGACUGAGAAUGUGUGGGUAUGUGUGUAGCCCAGUUAGAGCCCAUUUCUGUGAGGGCCCCUGGCUAGAGUGUUCAAACAGCCAUGAUAUUAAAAUAAAAAGUGUGCAGGAGCGGUGGGGUUUGGAGCGAUCCAUAGUGAGGUAUUGAUCAAGGUUAGGACUCAUCCUGAUCGUGCCGCUGGCUGGAGGGCUUCUCACUCUCACUCACACACACACACACACACAAACACACGCUCUUACAAAUAGGUGUGUACUCUAAAAACGGGAUUCCACAUCUGAGCUAACAAGGAAAUCUCGGGGGCUCUGUGAAGCUCUGAGGAGAGCAAAAAAAAACCAAAAACAUUUCUAGCUUUUUUUUUUUUAACUUCUCUCAAGAUAGCAACACUGAUCAGCUCAGCAUGUGCUCAAAACAUACCUGAACCAGCAAUCUCAUCCAAAACACUUCAGGCCUAUAGGAGAACUUUUAUAUUGUGUGCUCAAUUUGCUUGUUUAUGCUGGUGAACAGACAUGCUGACUGUGACAGACAUAAAUCUCCACCUCAUACUACAGGAAGCUCGGGUAUGAGAAGUGAAAUCUUAAUAAGGAAACAUGGAGGAUUUAUAAGUUCUUUCAUAGACAAUAUGGGACUACUCGGGUUUUCAUGUGCUACAUUUUAAAACAUGUCUGCAGGUUUACUUAGUGUGGGCUAAAGCAGGACUGAACACAUGCUGAUGUAUAAGGAAACCAUUACUGUACCUCCAGCAAGUGCUCCCCAAUGAAAGGAAGGAGAGAAGUACUUUUUUUGGUUGUUUAUUUGGUUGGGUUUUUUAAAAAUUAUUUUUAAGCCGACCUGAAAAAAUGGCUAUGAAAAUGAUUUAUGUUUCAGCUUUCUUUCUAAAUAAGUGUAUAUGCAUAUUCACUGAUCAGCCAUAACAUUAAAACCGCUUGCCUAGUAUUGUGUAGGUCCAACUUUUGCCAUCAAAACAGCUCUGACUCAUCGAGACAUGGACUCAACAAGACCUUUGAAGGUGUGCUGUUGUAUGUGGCACCAAGACUUUAGCAGCAAAUCCUUUAAAUCCUGUAAGUUGUGAGGUGGAACCUCCAUGGAUCAGACUUGUUUGACCAGCAUAUCUCACAUAUGCUCGAUUUGAUUGAGAUAUGGGGAAUUUGGAGGACAAGCCACCUUCUUCCAUUGAUGCAUGGUCCAGUUCUGAUGCUCACAUGCCCAUUGUAGGUACUUUUGGUGGUGCACAGGGGUCAGCAUGGGCACACUGACUGGUCCGCAGCUACGCAGACCCAUACAUGCUGCGGUGCACCGUGUGUUCUGACAUCUUUCAGAAUUAACGUUUUCAUCAAUUUGUGAUACAGAAGCACUUCUGUGGGAUCAGGCUAGACAGGCUAGCAUUCUCUCCCCACAUGCAUCACUAAGCCUUAGGCGCCCAUGACACUAUUGGCGAUUCACCGGUUGUUCUUCCUUGUAGCACUUUUUGUAGGUACUAACCACUGCAUAAUGGGCACACCACACAAGACCUGCUGAUUUGGAGAUGCGCUGACCCAGAUGUAUAGCCAUCACAAUUUAGCCUUUGUCAAAGUUGCUCAGAUCCUUACGUGUGCCCAUUUUUCCUGCUUCCAACACAUCAACUUUGAGAACUGACUGUUCACUUGCUGUUAAAUAUAUCCCACCCCUUUGCAGGUGCCAUUGUAAGGAGAUAAUCAAUGUUAUUCAUGUCACCUAUUAGUGGUUUUCAUGUAAUGGCUAAUCGGUGUAUACAGCAUAUGCACCUCCCUGAAACUGUUCAUGGAGUAAAGGAAAACUACUCAUGUAUGUUUAUAAAUGAUAGUUGCUAGCUUUCUCCGCUUUUCACCGAGCACUUUGCCACACACUAAAAAGGGGAAAAAAACAGGCUGAAUUGUAUUUAUGUAUAUUUAUACCUAGACUAACUCUCGCUGUGUAAUAAAGUAUUAGUGAAAUGCUAUUCAUGAACUCUUGCCUAUUUGUGUGAGGAUGUUUUUUUCCAUGGAGACCACAGAGCAACUGUAGAAAUGUGUCCUUAUUGUUAAUCAAAUUACCCUUAUGUCUGGCUAAGUUUAGACUAGAAGUGCUGUAACAUCAGAGACUGCAUUGUACGUCUGUGUGUGUGUGUGUGUGUGUGUGGGAGAGAGAGUUUAUUCUGCAUUCAGAAUCACUAAUUUAUGUCCUGUAAAUAUAUAUCGUAUAUUGGUAUUGAGUAAUUCUGUAUGCCACUGUCGUUGCUUUGUAGUAAAAUGUUAUUGCAAUAAAAUGUUCAUUUAUUUUAUCACAUUUUAUUCUAUGCUUUUAAUUACAUCUUAUUAUAUCCUACUCCAUUCUAUUCUAUACUUUUCUAUUCUAUUCUGUGAUAUUAUAUCCCACUUUAUCAUAUUGAUCCCCAGCCUCCUCUAUUAUAUAAUAUAUAUAUACUUUCUAUUCUAUUUAUUCUAUUCUAUUCUAUUCUACUCUAUUCUAGUGUGUAAUGCUAUGUCCCAUUUUGCCCUGUUUUAUCCUGAUUUUCCAGAUUCUAUUCUAUUUGUUUCUAUUCUACUCUGGGAUAUUAUACCCUAUUUUAUCAUAUUGUUUACCAGUCUGUUCUAUUCUAUUUCUAUUCUAUUCUAUUCUGUUCUAUUGAAUUAUAUUCUAUUCUGUAAUGUUAUGCCACAUUUCGUCCUGUUUGAUCUUGAUUUUCUAUUAUUAAAUCACUUAUUAAAUCAUAUUUUAUUAUUUCCUAUUCUAUUCUAUUUUUCCAUUCUAUUCUAUUCUAGUCAAUCAUAUUAUAUAACAAUCUAUCCUAUUUUUUUUCUAUUCUAUUCUAUUUGAUUUUAUUGCUGCAAACAAAAAGCAUGCCCACCAUAAACAACACAUAAGCAAAUACCCAGUGGCAGCACUAGCACUGGACAGCACCAGCUUUAGAGAAUGAUCAAAUGUGGCAAAAGCCAUCUGAAACUUGUCCCCUCUAUUCAGAACCUCAGCCACAGUGCAACGUUCAGCACUGGCAAAUGUCAACGGCAAGGAGAAGUGAUUCUAUAUUGUUUCUCUCUCUUCAGCUUCUCAUCAGCUUGUCAGGGAGCAGUCUGGUCACUCUAAAUGGAGAAAUUCCCUGCUUACUCAUGCAUACCACUGGCAAAUUGUCCCUCUCAGAUCCUGGCCUUGGCGUGUGAUUUGCGCUAGACAGCGUGACACAGAGAGUCUCUGCCUCAUUGGAAAAGGCCAGUGCAGAAAUAGACAAACUAGUUCAAGAGGUGCAGUUGAAGAAAAUUGUAUCUUUCAGAGCUAGGCAGCACGCCGGAACAGGGAGGAAGACAGCGGGAGAGGAGUGAGACGCCUUUUAGUACUGACCUUGGCAAGGGAGUGGGUGGCCAGCAGCAUUUGGAAAGGUCUCACUGAGGCUGCCGUGCAUGUUAUUGUCAUCAUACUAUGAAUUAGGAGGUGAGAAAGACAGAAAAAAAGACCGGGGAGAAAAAGACCGAGCAAAAUAUCAAACAACCUUCACGGGGGUGGCAAAUAAGUGCUACCUGAUGAGAUGCUUCAUGAAACUCCAGAUAUGUGUGCCAUCCUGGACCUCACAAAACUGGACACCAUAUUCAAAUAAAGUGGAGCUGAAUGGAUACUAAGUAAAAAGAAUGAAUCACGUAUAUCAUAUCAGUCCAUGUGGAAUGUGUGGAGGAGAAACUGCAUGAUAAAGCAGUAAUGGGACACCCACUAACAGCCUCUCAUUUACAUUAGGUGAACGACUGUGUGCAGAACAAUCAUCUUUAAUAUUAAUAAUGGCUUCAUGCGCCCCCUAUGGACCGUGUGAUUUCCGUCCCUGCGUGUCCAGCCAUGCUGCGCCACUGCACAACAGGCACGGAUUAUUAAUGCUUUUUACCAACUUUGCCUUCAAGAUCAUAUGUAAUAACAGAGAACACCCGUUAGCGGAGAAGUAGAUCAAUUAGACAGCACUUUUAAAAGAGGUUAUGCAGCAAUUCAUAAAUGGAGCUAUGAGCUAUGAGGGAAGGGGAGACGAGCAAAAAAAGAAAAAGAAAAUGCUCAGCCAUGUUAUAGUCCAUGAAUAACAAUGAGAAGGUAUCAGCCAGUAUAACAGCAUGGGAUCACGUAGAGACCUGUUGAGAGCUUCAGCUACAAUAGUGCGAAGAUAAACUUCUGGCUUGUUACUGAUGAGAGGAAUGCAAAAUGUAAUAGCAAAAGGACCCACAGGUACAUACAACGGUGUGUCUACACAAACGCACGCACACACACACACAAACACACACACAGCAAAAAAAAAAACAUUUUAGCUUUCUUCUCUUCUCUCCUUCAUGGUCCUUUUGUCUGAAAACAGCCUUCACAAGCUAUUCUUCCAAGGAAAGUGACUUAAACAAUGAAAGCAUGGUAUUACACUUAUUCAAAACAAUUUAUCGUGUACCACCUAGGAAAUCCUCAUCUCUUCUUUUCAAAGUGCACAGCAUUCUAGCCAUAAAUACCAAACAAGGAGAUCUACUAAAUCACAAACCACAUUAAACAUGCUUACUUUGAGAUGAACUCUGGCCUACACUGUCCAAAUUUUUAUUUCUUCUCUGAUCCUUAAUCUCUCAGCCAGCGUCUGGUAUACAAAUUAUCAGCUACUGACAACUCUACUACAUUUUAGAUCACUGCUAAAGCUUUUUUAAAAUGAUAUUUUAUUAACAGAUGCUGUGAAAAGCUUCUUCCUGGCCUGGUGACCACACCAAAGAGACUAACUGAAAAUGUUCCUCUCCAUUAGUGCAGAAACACUACAAUAUUAUUACUAAAGACUUAACUAACAGCCACUGAAACUUUCCAGGACUUUUUCAUAGCCAUCUCCCAAAUAAAAUCCAGUAAGAAGAACUUUACUCUUUGUGAUCAGUGUACCAAAACAGUGUCUUUUAAUAUAGACUCUCGGAAAAAAAGAGUACUACUGUAAACUGUAUCUUUGCUCGUCUCUAGGGUGUUGCUUUAUUCAAAGAAAUUAAUUAUGGUCCAUUUAUGCAUCUUAAAUAAUUUUUAAAUGUACACUAUAAGCAUGAUACAAGGGAACGAUACAAAUUAAAGGUACAUAAGAUGUUCAUUUGAGGCUACCACCCCAGCAAGAAGGGAAGUACGGUUUUGUUCUGAAAGUAUAUGAUUUGUAUAAGCAUAUACAUCUUAACAAUGAAUUCUGAUUAUCACUUAAGCCAAUACAUUACAGAUUUGGUCUGCACAGUAUACUGAUUGUUAAUCAUAUACAUAAACACAAUAUUGUGGCUUUUGCAAUACUGUCUGUCUCAAAAGGCUGAAAUAUGCAAAUGACCACAACAAACCACAUUUUUUGGGAGUACUGUAGGCAUCCUGACCAUUUUAUAACUUCUAGAUAUGCUCUAUGUGAAUGCUUUGAAUAAUACUAGCAUUGACAUAAUCAAAAAAGUUUCUUUUUAGUGUAAUGUUUAGUGUUCACUGCAUUUUUGUAUUAUAUAAUCUGCAUUUAAUGUAUGUACUGACUUUGUGCUGUUGUCACUGUAUUUCCUUCUCCACUUUUCUGUUGCUAUUUCAUCAAGUGCAAGACUGAUUCUGAGGGAACUAUAUUUCAUUUCUAACAUUGCAUAACAGAAAUGACAAAAGCAUUAUUUUAAAGUGGGAUAGAUUGUAGCUGUGACUCAUCACAUGUUCAUGGGUAUGCUUUAAUAUAUUGCAAAGGAUAUCAGCAAGCGUCUACAGAAUAUAACCGCAACCUGCUUUUUCUGUCCAAACUCCCAACCCUACAACAGACAGUCCCUCCAUGAUUUCACGAUUUCAUGAUCGCAGAAAUGAAUGCAAAUUCACGAGAACUCCAAAAUAUUUGGAGGAGCUAGUAAUUUCUUAAAAUUACCAGAGAUGUUCUGCAGAUUUGGGCCAAGAUGCGUCAUGUGACGUCAUCACAACGCGCAUUCAGCCAAAGCCCUCUUUGAUUCACGUGCGUCAAACAUGAGUACAGAUAAAAGGUCUCAUUUACCAACAAACAUCACUGCGAAAGACCGUGCGAAACAAUUUCAUGCAAUUGUAUUAUCACCAAUUUAAGUAGAUUUCCACAAAAAAAGCACAAAAAACUCUGCAAAUUGUAUUGUCCCAGCAAAAUCAAGUAUUUUUGGCCACAACUAUUGCAAAAAAAGCUCAGCAAAAUUCUGUAUGGUAUGAAUAGACUCUAAUAAGACUUAUUAUAUAGGCUGUUUUCUAUUUAGCUCGUUAAUGAAUGUCCCAUUGACACAUCUCUGUUGGUUUUAUAGCAAACAAUCAGGACAAUUUUUUCUGAAAUUUAUUAGCAUUUAGCAAAUAUUUGCACUUAUUUGACAAAUUAAGCCUUACACACAGUGUCUUUCAGUAUCUUUUUACUAUUAUAUAUAUAAAAGUUUAAAUACUUCAUUUUACAAUGAAUCUUACAAUCCAUGUGUCCACUCGCUUGAGUAUCAUGACUGGUGUAUUAUGUCUGAGGACAAGGCAAAAUACAGAUGAACAGUAAGCAUGAUGCCUCUGCCACUGUGCUGCCUGCUUAGUCCACUUAACACACACUGCAG
ensembl:lncRNA